rnacentral:rRNA from 1 species
CCUACGGGAGGCUGCAGUGGGGGAUAAUGCACAAUGGGGGAAAGCCUGAUGCAGCGACGCCGCGUGAGUGAAGAAGGAUUUCGGUAUGUAAAGCUCUAUCAGCAAGGAAGAAAAGGAAAGUACCUGACCAAGAAUCCCCGGCCAACUACGUGCCAGCAGCCGCGGUAAUACGUAGGGGGCAAGCGUUAUCCGGAUUUACUGGGUGUAAGGGGAGCGUAGACGGUUAUUUAAGUCCGUAGUGAAAGCCCGGGGCCCAACCCCGGGACUGCUUUGGAAACUGUGUAACUGGAGUACAGGAGGGGCAGGCGGAAUUCCUGGUGUAGCGGUGAAAUGCGUAGAUAUCAGGAGGAACUCCGGCGGCGAAGGCGGCCUACUGGACUGACACUGACGUUGAGGCUCGAAAGCGUGGGGAGCAAACAGGAUUAGAUACCCGAGUAGUC